rnacentral:rRNA from 1 species
GAUCUACUCCGCGGCGGCGAAUCUGGACGCGCGCCGGGCCCUUCCCGCGGAUCUCCCCAGCUGCGGCGCG